GAUGAACGCUGGCGGCGUGCCUAAUACAUGCAAGUCGAGCGAACGGACGAGAAGCUUGCUUCUCUGAUGUUAGCGGCGGACGGGUGAGUAACACGUGGAUAACCUACAUAUAAGACUGGGAUAACUUCGGGAAACCGGAGCUAAUACCGGAUAAUAUUUUGAACCGCAUGGUUCAAAAGUGAAAGACGGUCUUGCUGUCACUUAUAGAUGGAUCCACGCUGCAUUAGCUAGUUGGUAAGGUAACGGCUUACCAAGGCAACGAUGCAUAGCCGACCUGAGAGGGUGAUCGGCCACACUGGAACUGAGACACGGUCCAGACUCCUACGGGAGGCAGCAGUAGGGAAUCUUCCGCAAUGGGCGAAAGCCUGACGGAGCAACGCCGCGUGAGUGAUGAAGGUCUUCGGAUCGUAAAACUCUGUUAUUAGGGAAGAACAUAUGUGUAAGUAACUGUGCACAUCUUGACGGUACCUAAUCAGAAAGCCACGGCUAACUACGUG
rnacentral:rRNA from 1 species